UCUUAUAUUUAAGUGAAGAGUUGGAUGCGAAUUAUAACCGGGCUCCGGGGUCUUGAGUGCCAGGAGUUUCUGGUCCUGACAGGUGGAUGGUGGUGUUUCUACUGGAGCUGAGACUGUUCAUAAGGACCAAAACAAGGGAGGAGUGGCGAAAGAGCAGUAACAAUCUCACCUGGACUUAGAAAAAAACAAAGGUAAGGACUCUGGCCCUGGAGGCUGCUUUUGGUGCCUAGGAGGCCCUCGCCUGGGCUAAGCCAGAGAAGGAGAGAGGAGGAAGAUGUUUCCUCCAAGGAAUGCAUUUUCAGGACUAAGCCCGAACAGUCCGUGUCAGUAAUUUUGUAAGAACUUUUGGAGGUGUGAGCUCAAAUAGGUGAGUUCUCAGAGCAACAAAGUGCCCUUAAACAAGAGUGGGGGCCCCGGCGCAGGGUCGGGCCCUGGCUGCUCCACUUUCGAUCCGGCUCUCUGCAAAUGUGCCGGGGAAAGCAGUGAAGGAGGGCCCAAGUGCCCCGGCCCCUGCCAGUCACGUGGGAGAGCCAAUGGCUCCUGGCUGUAGACCGGCCCAGUUCCGGGCCUUGUGGACAUUUAGGGAGUGAACCAGUGGAUGAAGAUUUCUCUCUGCCUUUCAAAUAAAUCUUAAUUUUCUUUUAAAGACUCAGAGACAUUGAACAUUUUUCCCAAAAUCUCAAAGUUACUAAGACCGAGAGAAGCAGGAGGAACCAACACUUAACAAGCACCAAUCAAUGUGCAAGUUUUUUUUUUUUUUUUUCCAUGCAUUUUCUCUAUUGAGUCUUAUGUUGUCUCUUACGGGGAAGGUAUUACCAUUCCCAUUUUCCUGAUGAAAAAACUGACUCGUACAGGGGUGGAUGAACUUGUCCGGGAUCUCAACGCUAGUAAGCAGCGGAUCCUGGAAUUCUGAGGUCUCUCUCUGCAGUCCCUAACUCCUCCUCGCCCACUGGACGGCAGACUGCCCUGGGUUGUGACCCAGCGGGACUCUUGGAAUCCAGCUCCUGGACCUUUCAUGUUCCUGUGUCACAGCCUGCAGGAGACUGUCACCCACUGGAGCGGGGACCAGGACGUGCUGGCUGAUGGCACAGGCCAGUUUCUAAAGGGCUCAGAAAAGGUGGAUGGAUUUGGCAGACUGAAUGAGAUGACACGUGGCAUGUGCUGACGGACAGACGCCGAGAUGUGCCUCGCUCGUUGACUCCAUCCUUGUGUGAACACGAUGGAGGGCCCUCGCACGAACUGAAGUGGCUACGACAUCAGGACAUCAGCGGGCGGCAUCAUCUCACUAUGGCCCGGCAUUAACGGCAACACCUGUACUACUGAUGCUUCUCCAGGCAGAGAAAACCGGAGAUCUGGUUUCCGUGCACAGACGCAAAGCGAUUUCCCUCAAGCAGCAAUCUGAUCACUUCCCCUGCCACGGGGGUUUGUGGCCAAAACAGAAUCUCUGAUGUUGAAGUCCCCCCCCAGCUAACGGAAGGCCGGCAGAAUCCGCAAAAGGUUAUCACUCGCUCAAUCGCAAAGAACACUCAAGGAUGCGUGACCAAGUGAUCUGAUGUUAUUCUUCCUGAGAAGGAGAUGCCCAGUAGAUUAAUGAAGGAAUUGGAAGAACCAGGUAUUUUAAUGCUGGAAUUGAAGCUCUCAAUCCUUUGGAUGCGCCCCUCUGUGCUAAUGACAUUCCAUUGGACAAAGUAUUGGGUUGAGGUCCCUCAAGUUGCAUGUAAAUAUGUAAAAAACUGUCUAGCUGCCAAAUUGAAAUGCUAUGAAUUACUAAGGCGUAUUCCACCCUGCAUGUUCUGGCUCCAUUUGUUCUAAAGAGCGACGUGUCACCAUCGGUAAAACUCUUCCAACUUUAUAUGAGAACUCGUAUUCCCUGAGAGCUGUUGUUACA